UGGCUCUUUCUUCCUCUUCUUUUUAUUCAGCGAGAUGGCAUUUGCUGAAAUCUUAUCUUCUGUUGACUUUGAGACAAGAGCGUCUCUCUGCAUGAGUUAAUGGAACAUACAGUAAUCAGUGUCUGCUUUUUCUACAGUAAAAAUCACCUGGCUCUGGUUGUCUCGUCCCAGCCACAAAAUCCAGAAUCAAUUUUCCCCCGUGCAAGCUUUUGUAGUAUUUCUGAAGUUCUCUUGCCUAGAAAGCUUCAGCCAAAGUAGCAUGCAUGGUGAUUAAUUUGGACAACAUUAUAUUAUCUUGGCUCUUCAAUAGUUGGUCCUCGCACCUUUGUAUUCAGAAAAAAGGUUUGCUUCCAUCUGUUUCGUACUUCUCUUUUUCCCCUUUUUUCACCUCUUAUUGUUGUUUCCCUCUAGUGAGAGAACUUUAUGCCUUGAUAUUGCCGUAGACAUUUACUUAGAAACAUUAACAUGAGACCGCUAAUUGUAGCAGCUUUAUGCAAUCAAAUCAUCCAUCCAUAAGGCCAGGUUUCCCUUGGUUAAAAAUAAUGAAGGGGGAAAAUGAGAAAGCAAACCGUAUUACACACUAACAUAGCCAUGAGCACAUGCACAGAUAGAGUGGUGGGUUUGCUAAAACCCAGGUCAAUUGGUUCUAUUCAACUUGAAAUUUGAUCCUUGGAGUUGAUUCCGCUAUUUUCUUUAACCCACAAUUUUGGCCAUGAAAAAGCAUUUGAUAUCUAGAAUCGCAAACAUGUUUAUUUCAUCUAUCCCACAAAACUGGAAGUAAUUGGUUGAAUUGUUUUAUGUGACUGAUUCUGAUUGACAAUUUUGCAGGAAAUUCAGGAGAAGUUGCUUGAACAUUGUAAAUUUAUAAUAAUGUACAUACUUGUGUAGAUUAGAUCCUUACCUAAGUGAGUAUACUUGAACAAACUAUUUCACUUGUGAAACUGGCUGAAGCAACUUCUUUAACUGAGGUAACAAGAAGAGCGAGUCAAAAUCGAAGUAUGCUUUUUCAUUCUUUGAGUUUAUUGUCAAAAAGAGGAAUGGUUGGGAAGAACGGUGCAGGUUGUUUCAAUGGUCUUGGACAAACUUAGGCUUGACAUAUUUUGGCCUCUUACUGGUGUUGGAGAAAAUCACAAGAGGCAAUUUUACGAUAAUCCACCUUGAGAAGAAAAUGAAAAAGGAGAAAAAGAAACAAAGAGGCCAAGCUGGUUUCCACUUGAAAUUAUCUACUUGGUUUGGUCUAACAUCAUCCAAAAGUCCAAACUGUCUUUCGCAGCUUGGAAGUAUUCUUUGAUUUUUUUUAACAAUGAAAAGGGAGAUGGGCGGAGGCAGUAUAUUUUUCAUCCUUCUAACGGCUAAAUGACGUGUAGUAAUAUAGAUUUUUUUUUUUUGGUUUUGAAUUAGUAAACCUGGGCCCAGAGCUCACAUGAUGGCCUCUGUCAUCAUUGAAUCCUUCAUAUUAAUAUUUGGUUUUGUCUGUAAUUGAAAUUUAUAAAUUGCUGUUCAGA